rnacentral:lncRNA from 1 species
GCAUCUUCUCAGCUUCUGGUGAAGCCUCAGGAAGCUUCUACUCAUGCCAGAAGGCAAAGCAGGAGCAGCAGGUCACAUGGCAAUGACUGGAAGGCAGCUGUAUUUAAAUUUCUAUAAAGAUCAGAUCCUCUAUGGACAACUUUUACUGUGAGUAAAACAAGGGCAGUCUGGAUGAAAGGCAGUUUCAUUUGGAUUUUGCCCACUGGCUUAAAUAUAUGAACAUUACAAGGGACAUAUGUAAAUAGAACCUUUAUACAUCUGGAAACAAACUUGCAUCUUUUACCUCUAAGACAUUGUUAAAAAAUCAACAUACAGCGCUA